CUAGAAAAUACUGAGGCUUUUAUUCUGCUGGAGGACAUAUAAAUUGCCAUUCUGGAUUCCCCAGUGGUCCAGCUAGUCCUGCAUCAUGCCUGUAGGUAUUCCGAUUUGAGGGGACUUCUUUUUUACAGACAGCGGAAUAAUACUAAUUCAGGGAGCAACGUCUUUAGACAUUCCAUAAUCAGACUCAAGCAGGCAGAUUCUUGCACAUGGGUGGAGCCUGACUGACUUCAGUGGGACACUGGGCAGAGUAAAGGUCCAUUCAUGCUGUUCCACCUGCAUGAUCGGGACCCGGGUAUCUGCUAAGUGAAUAACAAACAGUCAAACUGUAAUAUCCUGCAGCAGAGCUGAGAACGGAGCUGGGUGGGAAAUGCGUUUCCUGGCCCACAGAUACUUUUUAAAGUUUGGAAUUUUUCCCAUCUUGAAUCAGGGCAAAAAUUCAAAAUCUUGAAACUAUUUGCAUGCCAAAAACCCAACUUUUUUUUUUUUUAAAUUUCAAAGUUUCAGGUCAAUUCCAAAAUGGUUUAUCUCAGUUUUGACUUUUUCUCUCUUUUU